CACAGGCGCAGCUACCAUGCAGUCGAGCGGUAACAGAUCCAGCUUGCUGGAUGCUGACGAGCGGCGGACGGGUGAGUAAUGCAUAGGAAUCUGCCCGGUAGUGGGGGAUAACCUGGGGAAACCCAGGCUAAUACCGCAUACGUCCUACGGGAGAAAGGGGGCUUCGGCUCCCGCUAUCGGAUGAGCCUAUGUCGGAUUAGCUAGUUGGUGAGGUAACGGCUCACCAAGGCCACGAUCCGUAGCUGGUCUGAGAGGAUGAUCAGCCACAUCGGGACUGAGACACGGCCCGAACUCCUACGGGAGGCAGCAGUGGGGAAUAUUGGACAAUGGGGGGAACCCUGAUCCAGCCAUGCCGCGUGUGUGAAGAAGGCCCUCGGGUUGUAAAGCACUUUCAGCGAGGAAGAACGCCUAGCGGUUAAUACCCGCUAGGAAAGACAUCACUCGCAGAAGAAGCACCGGCUAACUCCGUGCCAGCAGCCGCGGUAAUACGGAGGGUGCAAGCGUUAAUCGGAAUUACUGGGCGUAAAGCGCGCGUAGGUGGCUUGAUAAGCCGGUUGUGAAAGCCCCGGGCUCAACCUGGGAACGGCAUCCGGAACUGUCAAGCUAGAGUGCAGGAGAGGAAGGUAGAAUUCCCGGUGUAGCGGUGAAAUGCGUAGAGAUCGGGAGGAAUACCAGUGGCGAAGGCGGCCUUCUGGACUGACACUGACACUGAGGUGCGAAAGCGUGGGUAGCAAACAGGAUUAGAUACCCUGGUAGUCCACGCCGUAAACGAUGUCGACCAGCCGUUGGGUGCCUAGCGCACUUUGUGGCGAAGUUAACGCGAUAAGUCGACCGCCUGGGGAGUACGGCCGCAAGGUUAAAACUCAAAUGAAUUGACGGGGGCCCGCACAAGCGGUGGAGCAUGUGGUUUAAUUCGAUGCAACGCGAAGAACCUUACCUACUCUUGACAUCCUGCGAAUUCGGUAGAGAUACCUUAGUGCCUUCGGGAACGCAGAGACAGGUGCUGCAUGGCUGUCGUCAGCUCGUGUUGUGAAAUGUUGGGUUAAGUCCCGUAACGAGCGC
rnacentral:rRNA from 1 species